CAAUUUUGGUAGCAUUUAUUAAAAUCAGCAAAUUAAAAAAAAAAAGAAUUUAAAAAUAAAUUUGUAGAACACAAAAAAAACUGGCUAUCUUGUCAUGAGGGAGAAUGCCCCUGCUGUAAACAUGUUUAUAUAAAAGUCAUCCAAUAAAGUAAUCAUAGUCAAUUUGUAAAUAGCAAUAUGGAUUUCAAAACAAAAAUGUUAUUUAGGUCCUGAUGAACUGAUUUCAAGGAUAGUGGACUGUAUCAAGUGAUUGAAUCAAAGCACAUUGCAAUGGCAUGUUUUACAUAAACACUACCAGUAUUUAAAAUGCCAUUCAAGUUUAUUUUUUGUGAUUAUUAGCUGAGUAGUUAAUAUUAUUCAGAAAAAAAAAU